CACAUCAGCCUCACACACUUGCCCU
rnacentral:misc_RNA from 1 species